rnacentral:rRNA from 1 species
UGGGUAACCUGCCUCAAAGAGGGGAAUAGCCUCCCGAAAGGGAGAUUAAUACCGCAUAAUAUGUUUAAGUCGCAUGACUUUAACAUCAAAGGAUUUUCUUUUAGAAAUUCCGCUUUGAGAUGGACCCGCGGCGCAUUAGCUAGUUGGUGAGGUAACGGCUCACCAAGGCAACGAUGCGUAGCCGACCUGAGAGGGUGAUCGCACAUUGGAACUGAGACACGGUCCAGACUCCGUAGGGAGG